GGAAGCACUGUGUGCAUCAGCCCAUCGUCCUCUGCCAGGGUCAGGAUCACCGAUGAGUCAGGUCAAGAGGCAGCCUGGAAUCAGGGCUUUGGGCUUAGGAAGGGAGAUUUCUGUAGAAGCGCUUUGAGAUUUAGCCUGUAAUGGGCAGCUUUGCUUCUAAUCGCUCUUGAGAGACAAGCCAUAAAACAUGGGUUAUCCCUAAACUGAGAGUAGAAAGGCUGAGGGGAGGAACGGCGGCCCCGGCUCUCCUGCCACGCGCCCACUCUGCCAGCUGAUGACAGAUGCAGACGGCUGGAGGACGUUUCAAAGUCAAGGGAUGGCGGGUGCUUAAGUCCUGCAGGUCGUGAAGCAGGCUGUAGACACAGUGGAAGAAUUACAAUUGUUUUGGAAGCUGUCCAAGUGCCCGAGACCCCUGACACAGACUCCUGAGCACCCUCCCCAUCCUCAAAGGCAAAGUCUCCAUCUCUAUAUCUCCAGCUCCAGCACAGGGCUGGGCAGGGGGCAGAGCUCAAAGCAAGGAGUGUCUAUGGACCACCCAGGGGGAGGUGAGACAAGAGCCCGUGUUGCUGGCCUGAAGAAGGGCCCACAGUCUGCCCGAGUCUGCUUCUUUCUCUGGGGAGGUGCAGGCCAAAGGUCGUGGCCAUUGCUACAGAGGGAGGCUCUGUCCAGCUCAUCGCAGGAUGGAGCGAGGCUUGUGAUGUCUGUUCACCCCUUGUGUUGAGUUUGAGCACUUGGUUAAAGUGAUGGCCAUCAGAUUUCUCUAUGGC
rnacentral:lncRNA from 13 species